rnacentral:tRNA from 1 species
CGGCGGGUGUGGCCGGCCGGCCGACGCGGUAGGGCCGCCGGCGUCGGCCUGGGCAUGCUGCUGCUGGCCUGGGGUGUCCUGCGCAACCUGCCGCUGU